rnacentral:rRNA from 1 species
GAUGAACGCUGGCGGCGUGCCUAAUACAUGCAAGUCGAGCGAACAGACGAGGAGCUUGCUCCUCUGACGUUAGCGGCGGACGGGUGAGUAACACGUGGAUAACCUACCUAUAAGACUGGGAUAACUUCGGGAAACCGGAGCUAAUGCCGGAUAAUAUAUUGAACCGCAUGGUUCAAUAGUGAAAGACGGUUUUGCUGUCACUUAUAGAUGGAUCCGCGCCGCAUUAGCUAGUUGGUAAGGUAACGGCUUACCAAGGCAACGAUGCGUAGCCGACCUGAGAGGGUGAUCGGCCACACUGGAACUGAGACACGGUCCAGACUCCUACGGGAGGCAGCAGUAGGGAAUCUUCCGCAAUGGGCGAAAGCCUGACGGAGCAACGCCGCGUGAGUGAUGAAGGUCUUCGGAUCGUAAAACUCUGUUAUUAGGGAAGAACAAAUGUGUAAGUAACUAUGCACGUCUUGACGGUACCUAAUCAGAAAGCCACGGCCAACUACGUG